rnacentral:rRNA from 1 species
AUUGAACGCUGGCGGCAGGCUUAACACAUGCAAGUCGAGCGGAGUGAUGGUGCUUGCACUAUCACUUAGCGGCGGACGGGUGAGUAAUGCUUAGGAAUCUGCCUAUUAGUGGGGGACAACAUCUCGAAAGGGAUGCUAAUACCGCAUACGUCCUACGGAAGAAAGCAGGGGAUCACUUGUGACCUUGCGCUAAUAGAUGAGCCUAAGUCGGAUUAGCUAGUUGGUGGGGUAAAGGCCUACCAAGGGGACGAUCUGUAGCGGGUCUGAGAGGAUGAUCCGCCACACUGGGACUGGGACACGGCCCAGACUCCUACGGGAGGCAGCAGUGGGGAAUAUUGGACAAUGGGGGGAACCCUGAUCCAGCCAUGCCGCGUGUGUGAAGAAGGCCUUAUGGUUGUAAAGCACUUUAAGCGAGGAGGAGGCUCUUUUGGUUAAUACCCAAGAUGAGUGGACGUUACUCGCAGAAUAAGCACCGGCUAACUCUGUGCCAGCCGCCGCGGUAA